GACGAACGCUGGCGGCGUGCCUAAUACAUGCAAGUAGAACGCUGAAGGAGGAGCUUGCUUCUCUGGAUGAGUUGCGAACGGGUGAGUAACGCGUAGGUAACCUGCCUGGUAGCGGGGGAUAACUAUUGGAAACGAUAGCUAAUACCGCAUAAGAGUAGAUGUCGCAUGACAUUUGCUUAAAAGGUGCAAUUGCAUCACUACCAGAUGGACCUGCGUUGUAUUAGCUAGUUGGUGAGGUAACGGCUCACCAAGGCAACGAUACAUAGCCGACCUGAGAGGGUGAUCGGCCACACUGGGACUGAGACACGGCCCAGACUCCUACGGGAGGCAGCAGUAGGGAAUCUUCGGCAAUGGACGGAAGUCUGACCGAGCAACGCCGCGUGAGUGAAGAAGGGUUUCGGAUCGUAAAGCUCUGUUGUAAGGGAAGAACGAGUGUGAGAGUGGAAAGUUCACACUGUGACGGUAUCUUACCAGAAAGGGACGGCUAACUACGUG
rnacentral:rRNA from 1 species